GGUUAAGUUAGAAAGGGCGCACGGUGGAUGCCUUGGCACUAGGAGCCGAAGAAGGACGGGACUAACACCGAUAUGCUUUGGGGAGCUGUACGUAAGCGUUGAUCCAGAGAUUUCCGAAUGGGGGAACCCACUAUCUUUAGUCGGAUAGUAUCCUUACGUGAAUACAUAGCGUAAGGAAGGCAGACCCAGGGAACUGAAACAUCUAAGUACCUGGAGGAAGAGAAAGAAAAAUCGAUUUCCUGAGUAGCGGCGAGCGAAACGGAAAGAGCCCAAACCAAGAAGCUUGCUUCUUGGGGUUGUAGGACACUCUAUACGGAGUUACAAAAGAAAGUUAUAAAUGAAGCGGUCUGGAAAGGCCCGCCAAAGACGGUAACAGCCCGGUAGUUGAAAUGGCUUUCCCUCCAGAGUGGAUCCUGAGUACGGCGGAACACGUGAAAUUCCGUCGGAAUCCGGGAGGACCAUCUCCCAAGGCUAAAUACUCCCUAGUGACCGAUAGUGAACCAGUACCGUGAGGGAAAGGUGAAAAGCACCCCGGAAGGGGAGUGAAACAGUUCCUGAAACCGUGUGCCUACAAGUAGUUAGAGCCCGUUAAUGGGUGAUAGCGUGCCUUUUGUAGAAUGAACCGGCGAGUUACGAUUUGUUGCAAGGUUAAGCGGAAAAAGCGGAGCCGUAGCGAAAGCGAGUCUGAAUAGGGCGCAUAAGUAACAGGUCGUAGACCCGAAACCAGGUGAUCUACCCAUGUCCAGGAUGAAGGUAAGGUAAUACUUACUGGAGGUCCGAACCCACGCACGUUGAAAAGUGCGGGGAUGAGGUGUGGGUAGCGGAGAAAUUCCAAUCGAACUUGGA
rnacentral:rRNA from 1 species